rnacentral:rRNA from 1 species
UACGUAGGGGGCGAGCGUUGUCCGGAAUCAUUGGGCGUAAAGCGCGUGUAGGCGGCUCGGUAAGUCUGCUGUGAAAGUCCAGGGCUCAACCCUGGGAUGCCGGUGGAUACUGUCGGGCUCGAGUCCGGAAGAGGAGUGUGGAAUUCCUGGUGUAGCGGUGAAAUGCGCAGAUAUCAGGAGGAACACCGAUGGCGAAGGCAGCACUCUGGGACGUGACUGACGCUGAGACGCGAAAGCGUGGGGAGCAAACAGG